rnacentral:rRNA from 1 species
AUACGGAGGAUCCGAGCGUUAUCCGGAUUUAUUGGGUUUAAAGGGUGCGCAGGCGGCCAUUUAAGUCAGCGGUUAAAUCGUGGGGCUCAACCCCAUUCUGCCGUUGAUACUGGGUGGCUUGAUUGCGGUCGAGGUUGGCGGAAUUCGUUGUGGAGCGGUGAAAUGCAUAGAUAUGACGAAGAACACCGAUUGCGUCGGCAGCUGACCAGAUCGCAAAUGACGCUCAUGCACGAAAGUGCGGGGAUCGAACAGGAUUAGAUACCCUGGUAGUCCGCACAGUAAACGAUGAAUACUUGUUUUCGGCGAUAUAAUGUCGGAGGCAAAGCGAAAGCGAUAAGUAUUCCACCUGGGGAGUACGCCGGCAACGGUGAAACUCAAAGGAAUUGACGGGG